rnacentral:rRNA from 1 species
CAGUCGCCGCGGUAAUACGGAGGGGGCUAGCGUUGUUCGGAAUUACUGGGCGUAAAGCGCACGUAGGCGGCUUGGUAAGUUAGAGGUGAAAGCCUGGAGCUCAACUCCAGAAUUGCCUUUAAGACUGCCGAGCUAGCAGGUGAGAGAGGUAAGUGGAAUUCCGAGUGUAGAGGUGAAAUUCGUAGAUAUUCGGAAGAACACCAGUGGCGAAGGCGGCUUACUGGCUCAUACUGGACGCUGAGGUGCGAAAGCGUGGGGAGCAAACAGGAUUAGAUACCCGGGUAGUCCCUGUCUCUUAUAA